rnacentral:snoRNA from 1 species
AUCAUCAGUAGUGGUUAUACUAUCUCUAAUAAGAUAUAUAACAUACUAUGUUAUAGCAACCUUCCAGUGAAGUCGUUGGUCUGACAUUAUGUCUUUUCAUAUGACUCACGUCAGCUGAGUGCUUUCCGACUUUUUUAACAGGAAAGUCACGGAAAGCAUUCCGUUUCCGGUUCCUUAGAGCAAACGACCAUACGCUAGUGAAAGACUGACGACCGAUAUAACCCAAUACUUAUCUUGGGCCGUGCGAGUCGUCCAACUAGACGUGUCGGGACAUUC